AAAGAAAAUAAAUUAGGGCAUGGUUACAGAAAGACAUAAAAGCGGCUUCCCCACCGAUAUGAUGGAGAACUAGCAUCAGCCAGAAGAACGCAUAGAGAAAUUAGGUUGGAACGGUUUGGAGGAAACAAGUAAAUGAAAGGCAUUGGAGAAGUAGUUGCUUGACUUCGAUUCUUUGGUGGAGAUUGGAACGGUUCGAAGGAAAUAAGGAAAUGAAAGGCGUUGGAGAAGUAGUUGCUUGACUUCGAUUCUUCGGUGGAGAGGCUGCGAGUGUACCGAUGACUUCAGAUUUCCCUCAACUCUAGGUAGCCUCCCGCAUAUCAGGUCCCAGGGUGAGCUAUUCAUUCAAGCUUGUGUUGGAUUCUCUCGGUCAUGACAUGUUCUCCUAUACUUUCAAACACAUACCAUUCUAUUCUUUUAUUUUACUGUAUUUGAUAUUCUUAGACUUAUUGGAGAUUAGAUGUCCUU